rnacentral:rRNA from 1 species
UACGGGGGGGGCAAGCGUUGUUCGGAAUUACUGGGCGUAAAGGGCUCGUAGGCGGCCAACUAAGUCAGACGUGAAAUCCCUCGGCUUAACCGGGGAACUGCAUCUGAUACUGGAUGGCUUGAGUUCGGGAGAGGGAUGCGGAAUUCCAGGUGUAGCGGUGAAAUGCGUAGAUAUUACCAGGAACACCAAUGGCGAAGGCAGCUUGCUGGGCCAUAUCUGACGCUGAGACACGAAAGCGUGGGGAGCGAACAGG